GAAACGAUAUUUUCCCAAAAAUUGUGUGGGAAAUUUUUGAAAUUACUAGAGAUAAUUUAUUCAGUAUAAAAUGUGUUUUUGCAUCAAUAGGAUUAUUUUAUUUAACGCAUCGCUAUUUUCUUUCCAAUUUAUGGUACACAAUGGAAGAUACAUAUAACUUUUUUUGCAGUACUUUACUUUUACAUACCGUUUCGGUUAGUUCGUUUGUAUUGAUAUAUAGAGUGUAUGCUAUUAGAAUAGAAUAUAUCAGUAUAUGUAUCAUUAAACGUUGUUAUUACGAAUUGGUUUUAUGAAAAAACCAAACGUAAAUUAUUUUAUCUUAAUGUAUCUCUAUAUGUAUUAUUCAUAUUUAGAAUCCACCUAAGUCUGAUGAGAUAUUUAAUUUAGACGAAUGCAAAUUAUUAUUCGAAGUCUUUCAUACAGUGUAUAUGGAAAAUCUUGCAUUACUUCGACUUGCUUGCUUACCACGUUAUAAUCUUAAAAUGAGUUUAGACGGUGUAACCACUUAUCUAGCAGCAUGACUUAUCAUCUUUGUACUAUUUAUAAAUCCAUUGAUAAUUAAGAAAAAUAAAGUAAUUCUUUUUA